rnacentral:tRNA from 2 species
GGUAAAAUGGCUGAGUAAAGCAUUAGACUGUAAAUCUAAGGACAGAGGUGGGACCUCUUUUUGCCA